UUUCCGGUUGAUCCUGCCGGACCUGACUGCUAUCGGAUUGAUACUAAGCCAUGCGAGUCAUUGUAGCAAUACAAGGCAUACGGCUCAGUAACGCGUAGUCAACCUAACCUAUGGACGGGAAUAACCUCGGGAAACUGAGAAUAAUGCCCGAUAGAACAUUAUGCCUGGAAUGGUUCAUGUUCCAAAUGAUUUAUCGCCGUAGGAUGGGACUGGGGCCUAUCACGUAGGAGGUGAGGUAAUGGACCAACAAGACUAUGACAGGUACGGGCUCUGCAAGGAGUAGACCGCCAGAUGGGGUACUAGAGACAAGAGAGCCAAGGGGCUAUGGGGGCGCAGCAAGACGAGAAAACUUUGCGCAGUGCGAAAGCACGAAAAGGGGAAUCCGAAUGGGGUCUGCUAAAGAAAACUUUUGUCCGUCCUAGAAACACUGAUGAAUAAGGGGGGGGCCAGUUCUGGUGUCAGGCGGCGCGGUAAACCAGCAACUCAAGUGGGCAGGAUGAUUAUUGGGCCUCAAGCAUUCGUAGCCGGUCUGGUAAGUUCGGUAAAAUCUGUACGCU
rnacentral:rRNA from 1 species